CAAGUACUCCCUCCGUCCGGAAUUACUUGUCAUCAAAAUGGAUGUGUCUAGAACUAAAAUACAUCUAGAUACAUCCAUUUCAAUGACAAGUAUUUUCGGACGGAGGGACUACAAG
rnacentral:pre_miRNA from 1 species